rnacentral:rRNA from 1 species
UAAAGAAUUUCGGUCAUCGAUGGGGAUGCGUUCCAUUAGCUUGUUGGCGGGGUAACGGCCCACCAAGGCAUCGAUGGAUAGGGGUUCUGAGAGGAAGGUCCCCCACAUUGGAACUGAGACACGGUCCAAACUCCUACGGGAGGCAGCAGUGAGGAAUAUUGGUCAAUGGGCGCUAGCCUGAACCAGCCAAGUAGCGUGAAGGAUGGCUGCCCUAUGGGUUGUAAACUUCUUUUAUAUGGGAAUAAAGUGCAGUAUGUAUACUGCUUUGCAUGUACCUUAUGAAUAAGGAUCGGCUAACUCCGUGCCAGCAGCCGCGGUAAUACGGAGGAUCCGAGCGUUAUCCGGAUUUAUUGGGUUUAAAGGGAGCGUAGGCGGGUUGUUAAGUCAGUUGUGAAAGUUUGCGGCUCAACCGUAAAAUUGCAGUUGAUACUGGCAUCCUUGAGUACAGUAGAGGUAGGCGGAAUUCGUGGUGUAGCGGUGAAAUGCUUAGAUAUCACGAAGAACUCCGAUUGCGAAGGCAGCCUGCUGGACUGUAACUGACGCUGAUGCUCGAAAGUGUGGGUAUCAAACAGGAUUAGAUACCCUGGUAGUCCACACAGUAAACGAUGAAUACUCGCUGUUUGCGAUAUACAGUAA